GGUUGGAUUACAGGGCAAAUACUCUAUUGGCAGAUAAGUUUUUGCUACAUCUUAUAUCAAUAUGGGUGAAAAAGUGAAACCCUGUAUUGAAAAUGCCUAGCUGCCAAAGGAGAUUUGCCCCGCGAUUCAUCC
rnacentral:pre_miRNA from 1 species